UCGGGAAUAUUGCGCAAUGGAGGAAACUCUGACGCAGUGACGCCGCGUGCAGGAAGAAGGUUUUCGGAUUGUAAACUGCUUUAGACAGGGAAGAAAAAAUGACAGUACCUGUAGAAUAAGCUCCGGCUAACUACGUGCCAGCAGCCGCGGUAAUACGUAGGGAGCAAGCGUUAUCCGGAUUUAUUGGGUGUAAAGGGUGCGUAGACGGGAAGACAAGUUAGUUGUGAAAUCCCUCGGCUUAACUGAGGAACUGCAACUAAACUAUCAUUCUUGAGUGCUGGAGAGGAAUGUGGAAUUCCUAGUGUAGCGGUGAAAUGCGUAGAUAUUAGGAGGAACACCAGUGGCGAAGGCGACUUUCUGGACAGUAACUAACGUUGAGGCACGAAAGUGUGGGGAGCAAACAGGAUUAGAUACCC
rnacentral:rRNA from 1 species